GUAUAGCUCAGUUGGUUAGAGCGUGGUGCUGAUAACGCCAAGGUUGCAGGUUCAAUCCUUGUUUGGAACA
rnacentral:tRNA from 1 species